rnacentral:rRNA from 1 species
UACGAAGGGGGCUAGCGUUGCUCGGAAUCACUGGGCGUAAAGCGCACGUAGGCGGCUUUUUAAGUCAGGGGUGAAAUCCUGGAGCUCAACUCCAGAACUGCCUUUGAUACUGAAAAUCUUGAGUUCGGGAGAGGUGAGUGGAACUGCGAGUGUAGAGGUGAAAUUCGUAGAUAUUCGCAAGAACACCAGUGGCGAAGGCGGCUCGCUGGCCCGAUACUGACGCUGAGGCACGAAAGCGUGGGGAGCAAACAGG